GACGAACCGUGCAAACGUUGUUCGGAAUCACUGGGCUUAAAGGGCGCGUAGGCGGUCGACCAAAGUCCGGGGUGAAAUCUUUCGGCUUAACCGGAAAAGUGCCUUGGAUACUGGUCGGCUGGAGGGAGGUAGGGGCAGGUGGAACUUCCAGUGGAGCGGUGAAAUGCGUUGAUAUUGGAAGGAACGCCGGUGGCGAAAGCGACCUGCUGGACCUCUUCUGACGCUGAGGCGCGAAAGCUAGGGGAGCAAACGGGG
rnacentral:rRNA from 1 species